rnacentral:rRNA from 1 species
AUUGAACGCUGGCGGCAUGCCUUACACAUGCAAGUCGAACGGCAGCACGGGGGCAACCCUGGUGGCGAGUGGCGAACGGGUGAGUAAUACAUCGGAACGUGCCCAGUAGUGGGGGAUAGCCCGGCGAAAGCCGGAUUAAUACCGCAUACGACCUACAGGUGAAAGCGGGGGACCGCAAGGCCUCGCGCUAUUGGAGCGGCCGAUGUCAGAUUAGGUUGUUGGUGGGGUAAAGGCCUACCAAGCCUGCGAUCUGUAGCUGGUCUGAGAGGACGACCAGCCAGACUGGGACUGAGACACGGCCCAGACUCCUACGGGAGGCAGCAGUGGGGAAUUUUGGACAAUGGGCGCAAGCCUGAUCCAGCCAUGCCGCGUGCGGGAAGAAGGCCUUCGGGUUGUAAACCGCUUUUGUCGGGGAAGAAACGCUUCAAGAUAAUACCUUGAAGUAAUGACGGUACCCGAAGAAUAAGCACCGGCUAACUACGUGCCAGCCGCCGCCGUAACAC